CCAUAAUGCAUGACAAUAGUUACUGUACUAUAUAUCUAAUCUUGAUCCAUGUGUACAGAUAGGCUUGGGAAGCAAUGGGAACUACAUGGUAUGUCUCUAUCUACAUAUUUCUAUGUUUUUCGACCUCAUACAUGUACAGUAGCAAGUACUAAUACUUUCAUAUGUACUUAAUGCUUCUAAUUGUUGGUUUCAGUUAAGUGGGAAAGAGACGUGUAGAGUACCAUCAAGUUGGCUAUGGAUCUUUCUCUAGGGCAGUCCUAAUUGUGGCUGCUUUGGUUGUCCGAGAGGAAAAUGAGUGUUCAGACUUCAAACUUGCUGUUCAAGCAGUAAAAUUGCCACAGGUCUACUGUAGCAUAUAUAUUGUAGGUCAGAUUUAAGCUUUUCCAUGAAAAAAUUGAUGGAUGGGUCCACACGUAGUCCACAUUCGGCAACAUACAGUUCUUCUAGAUGGGACUAAUGCUAAUCCAGGUUGCAAUAGUCUCACACUUAAAAUUAAGGAAGAGUUACACCAACUUAAAAAAUAAGUAAGACUAUAACCUU
rnacentral:lncRNA from 1 species